UACAGAGGUCUCAAGCGUUGUUCGGAUUCAUUGGGCGUAAAGGGUGCGUAGGCGGCGGGGCAAGUCUGGUGUGAAAUCCCGGGGCUCAACCCCGGAACUGCACUGGAUACUGCUCUGCUAGAGCACUGGAGAGGGAACUGGAAUUUACGGUGUAGCAGUGAAAUGCGUAGAGAUCGUAAGGAAGACCAGUGGCGAAGGCGAGUUCCUGGACAGUUGCUGACGCUGAGGCACGAAGGCCAGGGGAGCAAACGGG
rnacentral:rRNA from 1 species